rnacentral:rRNA from 1 species
AGCGAACGCUGGCGGCGUACUUAACACAUGCAAGUCGAACGAGGAUCGUCAGUGUAGCAAUACAUCGGCGGUCCUAGUGGCGCACGGGUGAGUAACACGUGGGUGACCUGCCCUGGAGCUCGGGAUACCCCCUCGAAAGGGGGGCUAAUACCGGAUACGUUCCUCGGUCGAAAGAUCGGGGAGGAAAGGUGGCGCAAGCUGCCGCUCUUGGAGGGGCUCGCGGCCUAUCAGCUAGUUGGCGGGGUAACGGCCCACCAAGGCUAUGACGGGUAGCUGG